GGCCAAGUAAGAAAGGGCAUACAGUGGAUCUCUUGGUGAAGGUCGUUGAUGAAGGCCGUGGUAAACUGCGAUAAGGUGCGGUGAGGAGCAAACAUCCUGUGAUCCGCACAUUGCCGAAUGGGGAAAACCGCCCCGAUGCAAAUCGGGGCACUAUGAUAUGAAUACAUAGUAUCAUAGGAAUAACCCAGGGAAGUGAAACAUCUCAGUACCUGGAGGAAAAGAAAUCGAAAGAGAUUCCCUUAGUAGUGGCGAGCGAACAGGGAAGAGCCUAAACUUGUCCCGAUGCAAAUCGGGAUGAGGGUUGUAGGGUUUUAACAGUCCCGCUUCGGUGGGACAGGAAGUUACAAAUGGAGUCUAUAGUUGAAUGGUCCUGGAAUGGCCAACCAUAGAUGGUGAAAGUCCAGUAGAUAAAAUAGAUUUCACUUCCUCGUUAGAAUUCCUGAGUAUCAUUGAACACGUGAAAUUCAGUGAGAAUCCGCCCGGACCAUCGGGCAAGGCUAAAUACGAACCUUCAACCGAUAGUGAACAAGUACCGUGAGGGAAAGAUGAAAAGAACCCCUGAUGGGGAGUGAAAUAGAACAUGAAACUGUAUGUCUACAAGCAGUCAAAGCACUAUGUCCUGAUUCCGAGCAAUCGGGAGAAGGAAAUGUGCGAUGGCGUGCCUGUUGAAGAAUGAUCCGGCGAGUUACUUUAACGACCAAGUUUAAGUCCGGACUGAAUAGGUCCGGAUGAAACGUAGGGAAACCGAGUCUUAAUAGGGCGAAUAGGUCGUUGGAGUAGACCCGAAGCCAAGUGAUCUAUCCCUGGCCAGGUUGAAUCCUGCGUAAUAGCAGGAGGAGGACCGAACCAUUUAGUGUUGCAAAACUACUGGAUGAGCUUGGGAUAGGGGUGAAAGGCUAAUCUAACUUGGUGAUAGCUGGUUCUCCCCGAAAUAGCUUUAGGGCUAGCCUGAUAGUUUGAAUUCGAGGGGUAGAGCACUGGAUAAUGUAGGACCUGCAACCCAGGUUCCGAAUUUAACCAAACUCCGAAUACUCGAAUGGACACUAUUGGAGUCAGUUUGUGCGGGAUAAGCUGCACAUGCAAAAGGGGAACAGCCCAGACCAUCGGUUAAGGUCCCAAAAUUGAAGUUAAGUGGAAAAGGACGUAUUAUUGCAAAGACAGCUAGGAGGUUAGCUUAGAAGCAGCUAUCCUUUAAAGAGUGCGUAACAGCUCACUAGUCAAGCGAUUUUGCGCCGAAAAUGUCCGGGGCUAAACUUCAUACCGAAACCAUGGCUGUCCCGAUGUAAGUCCGAAUUUGGACUAUCGGGACGGGGUAGGGGAGCGUUCUAUCAGCAAUGAAGAUAGACCGAGAGGACUAUUGGAGUUGAUGGAAGUGAGGAUGUCGGAAUAAGUAGCGAUAAUGGUUGUGAAAAUCAACCACGCCGAAAGCCCAAGGUUUCCUUGAGCAAUGUUCGUCAGCUCAGGGUUAGUCGGUCCUAAGCUGAGGCCGAAAGGCGUAAGCGAUGGAUAUCCGGUUAAUAUUCCGGAACCAUUCUGGAGUCGUUAGUCACUAACUUUGUGCGCAUUAGAGUAUGGUUAUCUCCGUGUUGAAUUACGGGGUUUAAUCCCGCCGUGAGGCGGGAGAAUACGACCCUCGAGAAAUCGGGGGGAAGUAACUGAAUCUGGUGCCAAGAAAAGCAAAGUUUAGGAGUCUCCGGGAUGACCGUACCGCAAACCAACACAGGUGGGUAGGGUGAAUAACCUAAGGCGCGCGAGUGAUUUGCCGCUAAGGAACUCGGCAAAAUUGCCCUGUAACUUCGGGAUAAAGGGUUCCCCCGAUUUAUCGGGGGAUUCAAUAAAGAGUCUCAUGCGACUGUUUAACAAAAACACAGGUCUCUGCUUAAAUCGUAAGAUGAUGUAUAGGGACUGACGCCUGCCCGGUGCUAGAAGGUCAAGAGGAGUUGUCAUCUCUGACGCAAGUUGGGGAGAAGCGAUGAAUUUAAGCCCUAGUAAACGGCGGCCGUAACUAUUGUUUGGACCACAGUAGUUGUAAAAUCUGGCUAUAUGCUGGAAAAUCCUGGUAUGCUAACAGUACUCCUGUUAAUGUUGAUAAGAACAGGACGUGACAAUCUGUUAGAUAGGGCUGCGUAUUCGCACGAAUAAGUGCGAAUGAGUUACGCAGGACGGCGAGAAGGUGAGCCGGCGGGACAAUCAGCAGGAAAGACCUGAAAUGAGGGCUCCAUGCGAACAGAAACAGGCUAUUACUUAGCAGGUUUUGCAGACGGAGAAGGAAGUUUUAAUAUUUCUUUCAGACCGAGGCAAGAUUAUAAGUUACCGUGGAAAAUCUCUCUCUGCUUUAACAUUUCCCAGAAGGAUAAAGUUAUUCUGUCGUUAUUCAAACGUUAUUUGGUUUGUGGAACAUUAAGGAGCAGACCCGAUGGUGUUUGGUAUUACGAAGUAAAUAACUUCAAUGCGAUAUGGGAAAAGGUAAUACCUUUCUUUAAGAAAUAUAGAUUCUUGUCCGCUAAGAAAAAACGUGACUUCUCAAAAUUUUGCCAGAUAGCAGAAAUGGUAAAAAAAGGGGAGCAUCUUAAAGAAGAUGGUAUCAGAAGAAUUGUUGAAAUAAGACGAGAGAUGAAUGACGGUGGUAAACGCAAGUAUAGCAAUACGGAGAUCCUAAGUAAAUUUCAGGAAUCCCCAGAGACUAUACGCCAGAUCCCGAUAACUCGGGAAUGAUAUAGUCCGGUCUCCGAUGAAAAUCGGAGUUAACAUAAACGAACGGUCCUAAGGUUAGUUUAAUGCUAGCCUGUUCCGGUAGUAAUAUCGGAAGUAAUAUUUAACUAUAUGCGGGGAACUCCCCAAAAAAUGUUUGAUACUAGUCUAUUCAUUUGAAUGGGACAGUAAAAAAUCAACAUACAUGAGGACAAUCCGCAGGGAAGGCAUAUUAUGGAUAAUAAUAUGAACCCUCAGAGACUACACGUUGAAUAUCCGAAUUGCAACAGCUUGACUCCUGACUGGAUUGUGGGAUUCGUAGACGGGGAAGGUUGUUUUCACAUAGGGAUAAAUAAGAAUGACGAAGUUAAAUCCGGGUACCAGGUUUUACCCGAAUUGACAGUCGUCCAACACAAACGAGACAUUCAACUUCUUUAUCGAUUACGCACAUUUAUGAAAUGUGGCGUGGUAAGAAGUAAUCAUGGAGACCGUUUCUGUUGGCGUGUCAGAUGUCUUAAAAACCUUGUGGAAAUAAUUCUUCCAUUUUUUGAAAAGCAUCCAUUGAAAUCAAAAAAAAAUAUUGAAUUUCACAGAUUUGCAAAGGUGGUGCGAAUGAUGGAGAAAGAUAAACACCUUACCCAGGAAGGAUUCCAGAAGAUUAUUAAAAUUGCGGAAGAGAUGAACAGGCAAGAGCAAAGAGAAAUUCGGAUAAAGAUAUAGUCCACACUUCGAUGAAAAUCGAGGAUUUUGUGAGCGAAAUUCCUUGUCGGGUAAGUUCCGACCUGCACGAAUGGCGUAACGAAAUGAGAACUGUCUCGGCGGCAAACUCGGCGAAAUUGUGGUGUCCGUGAAGACGCGGACUACCUGCGGAUAGACGAAAAGACCCCGUGGAGCUUUACUAUAGCUUAAUAUUGAAUUACGGGGUAGGAUGCGUAGCAUAGGUGGGAGGCUUUGAUUCCCCGAUUUUGGUCGGGGAGGAGCCGCCAGUGAAAUACCACCCUUUCUGCUUUGUGGUUCUAAUUCUAGUCCGUGAAACCGGACGGAAGACAGUGUUAGGUGGGUAGUUUGACUGGGGCGGUUACCUCCCAAAGAGUAACGGAGGCGUUCAAAGGUACCCUCAUCCUGAAUAAAAGUCAGGAGUUGAGUGCAAAGGCAUAAGGGUGCUUGACUGCGAGUCCGACGGGACAAGCAGGUACGAAAGUAGGACUUAGUGAUCCGGUGGUUGCGUAUGGAAGUGCCAUCGCUCAACGGAUAAAAGCUACCCCGGGGAUAACAGGCUUAUCGAGCCCGAGAGUCCAUAUCGACGGCUCGGUUUGGCACCUCGAUGUCGGCUCAUCGCAUCCUGGGGCUGGAGCAGGUCCCAAGGGUUUGGCUGUUCGCCAAUUAAAGCGGUACGUGAGCUGGGUUCAGUACGUCGUGAGACAGUACGGUCUCUAUCUUCCGUAGGUGUUGGAAACUUGAGGGGAGCUGGCCUUAGUACGAGAGGACCAGGCUGGACAAGCCUCUGGUGUGCCUGCUAUCGCGUCAGCGGUAUUAGCAGGGUAGCCAUUGCUUGGAUAGAAUAACCGCUGAAAGCAUCUAAGCGGGAAGUCAACCCUAAAACAAGGUUUCCCUCCCGAUGAAAGUCGGGACUGAAGGUCACCAGAAGACUACUGGUUUUAUAGGUCGGGUGUGUAAGUCCAGUAAUGGAUUGAGCUAACCGAUACUAAUCGACCGUGCGGCUUGGCCAU
rfam:Elusimicrobia bacterium CG1_02_37_114 cg_0.2_sub10_scaffold_175_c, whole genome shotgun sequence.